rnacentral:rRNA from 1 species
CCUACGGGAGGCAGCAGUGAGGAAUAUUGGUCAAUGGGCGAGAGCCUGAACCAGCCAAGUCGCGUGAAGGAUGACGGCCCUACGGGUUGUAAACUUCUUUUGUCAGGGAGCAAUUGGGUCCACGCGUGGGCUUAGCGAGAUUACCUGAAGAAAAAGCAUCGGCUAACUUCGUGCCGGCAGCCGCGUUAAUACGGAGGAUGCGAGCGUUAUCCGGAUUUUUUGGGUUAAAAGGGUGCGUAGGCGGAAUAUCAAGUCAGCGGUAAAAAUUCGGGGCUCAACCCCGUCGUGCCGUUGAAACUGAUGUUCUUGAGUGGGCGAGAAGUAUGCGGAAUGCGUGGUGUAGCGGUGAAAUGCAUAGAUAUCACGCAGAACUCCGAUUGCGAAGGCAGCAUACCGGCGCCCAACUGACGCUGAAGCACGAAAGCGUGGGUAUCGAACAGGAUUAGAUACCCGGGUAGUC